AGUGAACGCUGGCGGUAGGCCUAACACAUGCAAGUCGGACGGCAGCACAGGAGAGCUUGCUCUCUGGGUGGCGAGUGGCGGACGGGUGAGGAAUACAUCGGAAUCUACUUUUUCGUGGGGGAUAACGUAGGGAAACUUACGCUAAUACCGCAUACGACCUACGGGUGAAAGCAGGGGACCUUCGGGCCUUGCGCGAUUGAAUGAGCCGAUGUCGGAUUAGCUAGUUGGCGGGGUAAAGGCCCACCAAGGCGACGAUCCGGAGCUGGUCUGAGAGGAUGAUCAGCCACACUGGAACUGAGACACGGUCCAGACUCCUACGGGAGGCAGCAGUGGGGAAUAUUGGACAAUGGGCGCAAGCCUGAUCCAGCCAUACCGCGUGGGUGAAGAAGGCCUUCGGGUUGUAAAGCCCUUUUGUUGGGAAAGAAAUCCAGCUGGCUAAUACCCGGUUGGGAUGACGGUACCCAAAGAAUAAGCACCGGCUAACUUCGUGCCAGCCGCCGCGGUAA
rnacentral:rRNA from 1 species